rnacentral:rRNA from 1 species
UACGAAGGGGGCUAGCGUUGCUCGGAAUUACUGGGCGUAAAGCGCACGUAGGCGGCUCUUUAAGUCGGGGGUGAAAUCCUGGAGCUCAACUCCAGAACUGCCUUCGAUACUGGAGAGCUCGAGUCCGGGAGAGGUGAGUGGGAACUGCGAGUGUAGAGGUGAAAUUCGUAGAUAUUCGCAAGAACACCAGUGGCGAAGGCGGCUCACUGGCCCGGUACUGACGCUGAGGUGCGAAAGCGUGGGGAGCAA